rnacentral:rRNA from 1 species
UACGAAGGGGACUAGCGUUGUUCGGAAUCACUGGGCGUAAAGCGCACGUAGGCGGAUUCGUAAGUCCGGGGUGAAAUCCCGGGGCUCAACCUCGGAACUGCCUUUGAUACUGCGGGUCUUGAGUCCGAUAGAGGUGGGUGGAAUUCCUAGUGUAGAGGUGAAAUUCGUAGAUAUUGGGAAGAACACCGGUGGCGAAGGCGGCGACCUGGUCCUUUUACUGACGCUGAGGCGCGAAAGCGUGGGGAGCAAACAGG